rnacentral:lncRNA from 1 species
GAGACCCGCGCGCGGUCGUCAUUUCCUAACCCGCCUGCGGGCCCUGGCGCGUGCGCGGCGUCGGAGCAAGCGGCCCCUUCCUUCGGCCCCGCCCAGCCCCGCCGGCCGCCCGCUCCCUGGGGAACCGAGGGAGGAAUGGGCGGGGUCCUCAGGUGCCCGGCGACGUCAUCCAGCCCCCAAGGCUCCAGGACGCAAAGGGUCCCCUGAUCUGGCAGUCCCUGGACCUACCCUGGAGAGCGUGGGGGGACAAAGGCCGGACGCGCCGCCCGCUGCCGCCUCCAGGAAGCCCUCCCUUGCCAGGACAGUGGAGUUGGCCGGGUCCUUCCAAAGUGCCUACGGAAAGCUUUGUCCCAUCCUUGAAAAAUUGCUAAUGGGUUUGGAGAUACGAGGUGGAGAUGACUAGCAAUCAAACUCAAAGGUGGAAGUCACAUCGAGGCAGAUGAGCAGAUGAGGGGACCUAGAGAAGAAGAGAGGUGCAAGGAGAGCCCAGCCAGCAGGAACAUCUGCCCCAGUAGGCAGCACUGCCCCACAUCAGAGUCGAGGAAAGCAAAGCUCGGAUUGGAUAAAAGAAACUUGCAAACACGGUCAGUGCUUACUGCAUGUGGGCUCAGAGCACGUUACCCUCCUUCCCUGCAUGUUCCUGUGAAACGGGUUUACUGCUCUAACUCUCAGGGACACUGUGAAGACCAAACGAGAAAAUAGAAACAAACAUAAUUUAUAAACCAUAAAGUACUGACACCAAAAGAGGGGCGAGCACAGCAUUGUGAAUGUGCUGGUACUAAAUGGUUUGUUUUAAGAUGAUUUUAUGGUGUGUGAAUUUCACUUGAAUAAAUUUUUUUAAUGGAGUUCA